GAAAACAUCGCAUCGUCCUUCUUUUCAUUCUACGGAGUCUCGAGCACAGACCGAUAUCUGCAUCGUGAAUUUCCUUAAUAAUCACGAACUCCUUUUGAAGGAGGAAAGUUAAAGUUUUUCCUUCUUAAACAUGAGAGCAAAGUGGCGUAAGAAGCGCAUGCGAAGGCUAAAGCGCAAAAGGAGGAAGAUGCGUGCGAGGUCCAAAUAAAAUGGUACACCGUGUGGAAGUUAGGAUCAUCUAAUAACUACUAGUGUAUCAAAUAAAAACCCACUAAAAAUCAA